ACUCCUACGGGAGGCAGCAGUAGGGAAUCUUCCGCAAUGGACGAAAGUCUGACGGAGCAACGCCGCGUGAGUGAUGAAGGUUUUCGGAUCGUAAAGCUCUGUUGUUAGGGAAGAACAAGUACCGUUCGAAUAGGGCGGUACCUUGACGGUACCUAACCAGAAAGCCACGGCUAACUCC
rnacentral:rRNA from 1 species